GAUGAACGCUGGCGGCGUGCCUAAUACAUGCAAGUCGAGCGAACGGACGAGAAGCUUGCUUUUCUGAUGUUAGCGGCGGACGGGUGAGUAACACGUGGAUAACCUACCUAUAAGACUGGGAUAACUUCGGGAAACCGGAGCUAAUACCGGAUAAUAUUUUGAACCGCAUGGUUCAAAAGUGAAAGACGGUCUUGCUGUCACUUAUAGAUGGAUCCGCGCUGCAUUAGCUAGUUGGUAAGGUAACGGCUUACCAAGGCAACGAUGCAUAGCCGACCUGAGAGGGUGGUCGGCCACCCUGGAGCUGAGACACGGUCCAGACUCCUACGGGAGGCCGCAGUCGGGAAUCUUCCGCAAUGGGCGAAAGCCUGACGGAGCACCGCCGCGUGAGUGAUGAAGGUCUUCGGAUCGUAAAACUCUGUUAUUAUGGAAGAACAUAUGUGUAAUUAACUGUGCACAUCUUGACGGUACCUAAUCAGAAAGCCCCGGCUAACUACGUG
rnacentral:rRNA from 1 species